AUGGCCCUAGUUGGUUCAGGUGCUCCAUUAUGGGGCUUAAUAGGGAAGCCGGUGGAAGUCCGGCGCGGUCCCGCCGCUGUAACCGGGGACAAAACCUUGCGAGGUGCCACUGUCUUGGGCUAAUAAGAUGGGAAGGCGCAGGGAAGAGGAUGAUCCGGGAGUCAGAAGACCUGCCUGCAAUCUUUGUGCUUU
rnacentral:ncRNA from 2 species